rnacentral:rRNA from 1 species
UAUAUGACAGAACUGUGGGGACGCAUGUGGAAAGCAUAAGCACGGAAUGGAAAGCCGUGUACAAGCGGGGUAGGAGUCACGUAGGAAAAUCCGCGUGGCAAUCCGAAGACGUGAUGUGGACCGAACUUUCAGUAGGGAAGUAUGUGAUCCAUGUGCCGGGAAAAGCCGCUAUUGUUCAUACCGCACCCGUACCGUAAACCGACACAGGUGGAUGAGGAGAGAAUCCUAAGGCCGACGGAAGAAGCAUUGUUAAGGAACUCGGCAAAAUAGCCCCGUAACUUCGGGAGAAGGGGUGCCUGGAAACAGGCCGCAGAGAAUUGGCCCAAGCAACUGUUUAGCAAAAACACAGGUCUAUGCGAAACCGAAAGGUGAGGUAUAUGGGCUGACGCCUGCCCGGUGCUGGAAGGUUAAGAGGAGAGCUUAGCGCAAGCGAAGGUUUGAAUUUAAGCCCCAGUAAACGGCGGCCGUAACAAUAACGGUCCUAAGGUAGCGAAAUUCCUUGUCGGGUAAGUUCCGACCCGCACGAAAGGCGUAAUGAUUUGGGCGCUGUCUCGACAAUGCAUCCGGUGAAAUUGAAGUACCAGUGAAGAUGCUGGUUACCUGCGCCAGGACGGAAAGACCCCAUGGAGCUUUACUCCAGCUUGACACUGGGAUUCGGUAAUGCAUGUACAGGAUAGGUGGGAGGCAAUGAAAUAGGGACGCCAGUUUCUAUGGAGCCGCUGUUGGGAUACCACCCUUGCGUUAUUGGGUUUCUAACCUGCCGCCGUUACCCGGCGGGGGGACAAUGUCUGGCGGGGAGUUUGACUGGGGCGGUCGCCUCCGAAAGUGUAUCGGAGGCGCCCAAAGGUUCCCUCAGAAUGGUUGGAAACCAUUCGAAGAGUGCAAAGGCAGAAGGGAGCUUGACUGCGACACCGACGGGUGGAGCAGGUACGAAAGUAGGGCUUAGUGAUCCGGUGGUAUUAAGUGGGAAUGCCAUCGCUCAACGGAUAAAAGCUACCCUGGGAUAACAGGCUUAUCACUCCCAAGAGUUCACAUCGACGGAGUGGUUUGGCACCUCGAUGUCGGCUCAUCGCAUCCUGGGGCUGUAGUAGGUCCCAAGGGUUGGGCUGUUCGCCCAUUAAAGCGGUACGCGAGCUGGGUUCAGAACGUCGUGAGACAGUUCGGUCCCUAUCCGGCGCGGGCGUAGGAUAUUUGAGAGGAGCUGCCCUUAGUACGAGAGGACCGGGGUGGACUGACCUCUGGUGUACCGGUUGUCAUACCAAUGGCAUGGCCGGGUAGCCAAGUCGGGCAGGGAUAAACGCUGAAGGCAUCUAAGCGUGAAGCCCCCCUCAAGAUGAGAUAUCCCAAGACCCCUUGAAGAACACGAGGUAGAUAGGGCAGAGGUGGAAGUGCAGUAAUGCAUGGAGCUGACUGCUACUAAUCGGUCGCAAGCUUACC